rnacentral:rRNA from 1 species
CAGUAGCCGCGGUAAUACGUAGGGUGCGAGCGUUAAUCGGAAUUACUGGGCGUAAAGCGUGCGCAGGCGGUUGUGUAAGACAGGUGUGAAAUCCCCGGGCUUAACCUGGGAACUGCGCUUGUGACUGCACAGCUAGAGUAUGGCAGAGGGGGGUAGAAUUCCACGUGUAGCAGUGAAAUGCGUAGAGAUGUGGAGGAAUACCGAUGGCGAAGGCAGCCCCCUGGGCCAAUACUGACGCUCAUGCACGAAAGCGUGGGGAGCAAACAGGAUUAGAUACCCCGGUAGUCCCUGUCUCUUAUAC